ensembl:lncRNA
CCAGUCCUGGCACCCAGUAUAUAUGGCAAUUUACAGACAUGGCGAAUGUUCGAUGGCCACCUUCCGUCUAAUUCUCGAUAGCUAAGGAGGACCUCUGGACCGGGGCAGAACAUCACGCCAUUCGCUGACUGGACUCAGGAGGCCUUCCACUCUGCCUGCCAGAUGAGUGUGUUCAUAAAGAAGGACCGCCCCUGGGAUCUCCUGCGGAAAGUGUGUGCCCGGAACGCAGAAGAGGCUUAACCAGCGUACGCACAGAAAAGAGACCACUAUCCACAACGCACCAAAAGUAAAGUAUCUUAUUUCUCCUCAAAGUUCAUGCCCAUGCUGACAUGACUGAAUUUAAUCAAUUUCAGCAUAUGUCCCUGGACCUCAUGCCUGCUGAACUGUUUCCCUGAGAUCCACAGCACAUUAUGAUUUGUUAGAAUUAUCCAACACAGAAAACUCAAAUAUUAAUAUGGCCAAGUAAGGGAGGGUGCUGUAUAUGGUUGCAAAAAAGGAAGUCUGUCCACAGCCUGAGAGAGAGGAGGGAACUACGUCUACGCUGACAACACUUUUCUCAAACUAACAGUUUUCUGUACCCUCCCGUUAAGGAGCAACCGGCAACUAGUCUGUACAAGAGAACAAGACAGAUCGGAGCACGUCCAAGCACAGGGCCAGGUUCUGACAAAGCCGCAGACGCCAGGUGAAGGAAACAGCCACUGGUUUGGGUCCCCAGCACAACCUGCUGACAGGUUUGUCUAUGAGGGGCGUAUCUACACAGGCGUGAGUCUGCGUGCCUACAGGUUCACCUGCGUGUGCGCCACACAAAUGCUCACGUCGUGCCUGGUCUCCUCCAGGUAUUAAGCACAACUGUUCAUUUUAGAAUACCUGACAGUAACAGGUAGCUCGCUGAAGGCGUGCUCUGCGCCAGGCCCGCGGUCCCCUUCCGUGUUAACCUUUGCAAGGAUACAAGUGAGCAAUACUGCUGUCAUCAUUUUACAGAUGAGGAAUCUCAGGUGAGAGUCAAAGUCAGAGCCGUCUACUCAAAAGGCCAAUGUCUUAAUACUUACCUUAUUCAGGUCUCUCAGAGCAGAAUUAGCUGAUCUUGACUGAAUUUAAAUGUUGGCAGCUGUUAUAUACAUCUUCCUGGCCAGCCUCGUUCUUCUCCACUUGGAACCUACCUACUCGGCCACCUGUUGGACAUCCCUGGCUAGAUCCCAAGAGGCACCUCCAGCUUGGCUGGAACCUGACCUGAAGCAGGUUCUGUCCUGCUCUCCUGCUCCUCCCCAGCGCUGGGGCCUUAAGCCAGAACCUGAAGCCCACGUGAACCCGCCCCUCCUUUUGCAUCCUGCAUCCCAUCCCCAAGUCCUGCUGCCUCCCAAAGCUCUCCAUGCCCAUCUGCUCUUCCCCGGCCGCACCCAAGCUAGGGCCACCUCUGUGUCUCACUGGGACUCCCCUUGUGCCUCCAAGCGGCACUCAGCCAUCUGGCUGGCACCCCGGAAAGCCCUUUCAACCUCCUCUGACCUGACACUCUCUCUAAAGACACGCCACGGACGAGUCGUCCCCAGUUUUGGGCUCCGCACAUCCUCAGCACGGGCACUGAGGCCUGGAGGGUCUCUCCCGGCUCGUGUCCUGCACCUCAGCCCACCGGCUACCACUCUCCCUCCUCCAGUCUCGCUGAACUUCACGCCGUUCCUGUAACAGAACAUGCUCUUCCAUCGGUGUUUGGUGUGGGGGUGGGGGGGGGCAAGUGGCGCUCUGCAGGGAGCGCCUGCCCUGCUGCCCCCAGAAGGUCUUUCAAACACCCCAGCUCUGGGCUCCAGGGCCCUCGCCACAGCACCGUGCUGCACCGCUGUGCCCUGUUUUCUCGUCGAAAUACCCACUGCACCUUAAGAACCAUAAAAGCAGGAAAAAUAUUUACCCUGUCUCCCCAACAUCCUGUCUCCCCAAUAUUACAGAGCCUGCACACAGCAGGUGCUCAGUAAAUACUGUUAACGAGUGAUUCAAUGAUUACUGUAAAAC